CCAAAACAAGGCAAGCACAGUGUAUUGGGUUUGUGUAGCAAGACUUUGGUAGUGGGGGGAAUACAGGGGUGGCUUCUGUGAGAAGGUGGUAGAAGCUUCCCCUGUGUCCCAUGGAGCCAAUGCCAGCUGGCUCCAAGA